rnacentral:lncRNA from 1 species
GGGGUAAUCACUCCUUUAUGUGAAACAAAUAGUUCAAGGAACUGUGAAAAUUUGAAAUCAGUGCACAGAAGUACCACUCAGCCGUUUCAUGUGAUGGCACCAUUUAAUAUGCAGUGGAGAAACAGGCUACCGAGAAGAAGCUAAGUUCCUAGACAACUCCAAGAGCAGUUAUCCUGGAUUUGUACUGGCACAGGAAAUUCCUUCUUGGCAGCUCUUUAAUCACAGAUUUGGCCAUUAUUAAUUACUAAUAA